GUUUUGUACCGACUGAAGGAGAAGGUUCAGGUUUCAGACAGACAGCUAAAGGCCCCGCCCCCUGGCCGCCACCUGACCCCGACCGUCCAAUCACACUCCGCCCAAUGGUCAAAGGGCGCCAAGGUCUGACACCAGACGCCAAAAAAACUUUGUUUGUGAGAUCACACGUAAAGCAUCUUUAAGACUCAGUCUCUUUCUGUUCUCCAGUUUGUGAGGUCAGGAAGCAUGGUCCAAGCUGAGCUCCCUCCAACUGUAGCCACGCCCAUUCGCCAGCAACAGCCAAUCGUAGCCGGCCGUUGCCUCGCUCCUCCUGUCGUCCCUCUGCCCAGCUCCGCCCCUGCCCCUGUCGUCAGCAGCAACGACCACGCCCUCUUGGCCAGCGUUGCCCCGGUGACAGCCAAUAACGAGCUAAAGCCCUGCCCCUCCC
rnacentral:lncRNA from 1 species